rnacentral:piRNA from 1 species
UCCUAUAUAUGUGAUAUGGUGAAGGUGGU